AGUGAACGCUGGCGGUAGGCCUAACACAUGCAAGUCGAACGGCAGCACAGUAAGAGCUUGCUCUUACGGGUGGCGAGUGGCGGACGGGUGAGGAAUACAUCGGAAUCUACUUUUUCGUGGGGGAUAACGUAGGGAAACUUACGCUAAUACCGCAUACGACCUACGGGUGAAAGCAGGGGAUCUUCGGACCUUGCGCGAUUGAAUGAGCCGAUGUCGGAUUAGCUAGUUGGCGGGGUAAAGGCCCACCAAGGCGACGAUCCGUAGCUGGUCUGAGGGGAUGUUCAGCCACCCUGGAACUUGGACACGGUCCAGACUCCUACGGGAGGCACCAGUGGGGAAUAUUGGACAAUGGGGGCAAGCCUGAUCCAGCCAUACCGCGUGGGUGAAGAAGGCCUUCGGGUUGUAAAGCCCUUUUGUUGGGAAAGAAAAGCAGCAGGUUAAUACCCCGCUGUUCUGACGGUACCCAAAGAAUAAGCACCGGCUAACUUCGUG
rnacentral:rRNA from 1 species